rnacentral:lncRNA from 1 species
CUGUAGCCUGCAUAAACUAUUCAUAGUACUGUGCAUCAGUGAUAUACUGAUAUGAUAUCUUUUCAUCAGAUAUCAAUGGUCUAACAUAGUGUUAUUCUUGGUUUUGGUACAUAUGCACUAAUUUACUUACAAUACAUACAAUCAUGUACACUUAUCCUAAUCACGAAGACUUAUCUUUUUCCAAAUGAAAUGUUGGCUAAUUCUUGCCACCUGGAAGGUUUUAUCAAUGUUCAUGGAGUCAACUACAGAAAAGUUGAUGAAAGCCACUGUUACAUCAAAAAUUGUCAAUGCUAACCUGCAAUUGAAGAUUCAACUGGUUUACAUUACAGCAACGAUGCAUGUCCAUUUUAAAAGACAUAAAAUCAUUUGAACUGAGGAUGACUGUCAAAAAACAUAAAAUUACUUGAAACGAAAUUGAACCAAAAAACAUAAACACAUGAAAUGAAUUGAGCUGGCAUUCUUUUUUUUUUAAGUUGUCACUUAAUCAAUCUACACCUGAGUUAAUCCGUAUGCAGUCUGAAUGAGAAUGAUGCUAUUGCUAUUGUAUCAUAACCUAAUGCCUUGUUUAAUUUGUUAAUCCUGGCAGGAAUGUGAACACUCUCUUGCACCAAGACAGAGAAAAUUUGUUCGAGUACGACUUCUGAGAUCGGGAUGGUGUAUUAGGAAAGGUAAGUCAAGAUUGAUACGAGGCCUUCUGUUCGGUAUUUGUUGAGCUUGGAAUAAGCUAUCUUGUUUGGGUGACACUUUUGGCGUUGAUGGUAGCUUUUUUUAGAAGGGGCAUACAGCGUUGAAUGUUUGUAUUACAUGCCUAACUGUGUUACAAGACAAAAUAUCAGCCUUUAGAAUUUCUGCAAAAUAUUAAUGUAUACGUAGUUUUCAGAUUCAAAUGCAAUCAAUAUACUUCUUGAUAGAACAACUUAGUAUCUAAAUCGAUCUGAAAUUAGGUCAACUUGUUGUCUAAAUAAAAGAAUGUAAAGCUUUGCAACUUUCUUGUACCCAUGAGGUGCGCUGGAUGCUACAUGCAGGUUUGAUAUCAGCUCAAAGGCAUUCCUAUAAUCUGAAUUUGUAUUUGUUAAUUUCUUGGAACAAAUGCAUGACAAUCAAGCAUGACGGCACAAUUCUUCUUCCUGUCCCAUUUCCUGUAUGGCCUGAUACGUGCCACUCUGAUGGAAAUGUAAAGUUUGGAAUGAAUAGGAAUGCCAUUUUAUAGGCGAAUCUUGUCUUUUUGUUCAAUUUUCAUAAUAAAUGCAUCUGUCAAGUGUUCUUUUUGGGUUUAUCUUACUAUAUCAUAAGUGUGUGCUUUGUUAUCAAUUUUAUAUUCACUCUUAACCUUACAGUCCCUGGAAGAGAUGCAUGCCAAAUCACAGUGUUGCAUCAUGAGGACAAUGGCAUGAACAUCGAGAUGGCAAAGCUGGCCUUUUCCAAGGGCAUCUGGAAUUACAUUUGUAAAAUGAACAAUGCUUUACGCCGGUAUCCUCAGAACCAUGGCCCAUCAGUAUCAAUUCUAACCAUGCAAAGACUUAUGAAGAAGGUUGGUGCUCUUUACUAGUUUAUCAAUUUAUGUUAAUUUAUUGCUUGUUAUCGAUUGUAGUUUGUUUCCCGUGUCCUUCCAUGCUCGAAAUAUAACAAUACAAUUUCUUUUAGAGAUUUAAUAUGUUUAUUUGUAGCAUAAGUCUAUUCUCUUGAAAUUUAAAUUAUUUACCCACACAUUCUGUGAAUGGUUUACUGUUAUAUUAUUGAAACAUGGUCAUUUACAGUACUUGCUCUGAUGAAGCUCUCUCUUGUGCAUCAGUUUUCCCAGGCCUUACAGACCAGCAUGGACGAAGGUCAUCUAUCUCCAGUGAAUACAGCUGCAGCUGUUGUUCCUUCUACACAUUUAACGGGAACUUCACCCUGCAAGCUGGGGAAGAAGUCUUCACGGGAAACAAUUGCAAGUGGACUUUUGCUUAUUGGAAGCAUCGUUUGUCUGUCCAAAGGCCGGUCUAAUCUUGGCGCUCAGCUUGCGAUGGCAUUCUUCCUGAAGAAGGCGUUUAAGCAAGACAAAGGAUCAGGCUCGCCGAGAGGAAGAACUGAUGCCACUGUAUCCAGGCACUAGUAGUAGGACUGGCUUAAGCUGCGAAGACUACCGUUUUAUGAUCCGUAUUAUAAACACACUGAGUACUGCUUACCUUUUUUCUUUUUUGAGAAGAGAGUAUUUCUUACUUGAAAAUGCACGACUAUACAGCGUUUUCAGCCUGAGUUAUGUAAAUAAUAAGUUUUGAAAUAACCUUCUUCCCCAGUUAGCGCUUGGGAUGGUAUCCUGUUGUUUCCUAGUCUUCUGCCGUACUUUCCUUCCCCACGCGCAGACGCCCAAUUCAGUACCGGGAGUUCCAAAAUAACACUGAGAAAAUCAAACUUCAAAAUACCAUUACACCUUUGGUUUUUAUGCCAAAAUACCACUAUGUACGGAGUAACUGGGACUAACAGCAAUGUAAGAUGUCCUUGCCUCUUCCGUGCUCAUUUCCACUCAUUCGUGCAACGCCGGUGCUGACUUCAGAGGGAACAUGCAACAGAGUAGCAGACUGACGGCAGAGCAGAAGAGGAAAGGGCGAGCUGCUCGUGGGCGGCAGAGGGCGCCCCGCGUCGGCAUCAGGAGUGGCCGCGACCUGCAGGGAACCAGCGACCGACUCGUGGAAGGCAGAGGGCACCCUCGUCGGCGUCAUGCGUGCUCGCGACGGGCAGUGAGCGGCGAGCAUGGACGCGACGGACUCGUGGGCGGUGGAGGGGCAUCAGGGGUGGCCGCGACGGGCAGAGAGCAUCGGAUGGGUCGGGCGUGGCCGCUGGGACGAGAUGGCGGCUGGGGCGAGGUAUUUAGAGGGAAGAUUCGUCAGAGGCUGAGAGCGGCGGUGGAUCGAGGGAUUCAGAGGGAAGAGAUGGCGGCCGGGGCGAGCCAUCGCCGGCGCGGCGAUGCGGCGGCCGGGCGCCGCCAUGGUUCGCCAGGAGAAGGGGAUGGGGCAGGCCGGUAGGGGAGAUCGGGCUGGGCUAGGUGAUGAGGGCAAUUUUGGCAUUCUUAAAAAACUGACAAGAAAUAUCUUGUUUGACUAACGGGAAACCUUUGACAUCUCACGGCAGUGGU